GUGCUCGCUUCAGCAGCACAUAAUACUAAAAUUGGAACGAUGCACAGAUUAGCAUGGCCUCUGUGCAAGGAUGAUAAGCAAAUUUGUGAAUCAUUCCAUAUUUCA
ensembl:snRNA U6 U6 spliceosomal RNA